UAUAUUGUAGACUCCCCGGCCAUCAGCAUGUCCUGGCCAAAGUCUGCCUAGUGGUCCUCCUUGGCCUCCUUUCUCCAACUGCAAAACCAAAAGAGCAGUGCUGACUUCAGAGCUGCUCCCCUGGGAUGCUGUCAAAGCGAACAAGUUAUUGACGGCAGAGAACUGGCAGUCUCUGAGUGAAGAGGCCGAUAAAUCAAACAUUCCAUUAUGUCUGUUUUCAAUUCUUCUUUUCAAUGAAUGUUUGCUCAUUGUCUAUAUCAAGUAGCAGCCUGCCCCUGCUCUAGUAAUGCUAAUCUUCUGUGUGUCAUAGGUUAUGAGCAGAAACACAGGAUCCAGACUGCUUGAAUUUUAACCCCAGCUCUCCACUUCCCAGCUGGGUGACCCUGGCUGGAGUAGUUCUGAGUGUGGCCUGCAUGCCUUGGCUGGAGGGAAGACCUCUACAAAGCUGCUUUCCAGAGGUGUGACCAUUUCUGUGCCAGAGACAGCCAGAGAGCCACAGCCAGGGGUUAAAUAUUCAACCACAAGUAUGUGCUCCAGGCUGAAACCUGAUGAGUGAGAGGAGCCAGGGAGAAAGGUGGGCUCCUAACCGUACUUCUUAUUAAUAUGAAAGUAAUCAACAUGACUGCUUAAUAAAGGACAUGUAAGCUGCUACAUGAGGCCACAAGAGAUCUCAUGUGUACACAUCGGCAUCUCAGCAUGUCCCAUGGAUCCUGGCUCUCCC